rnacentral:tRNA from 2 species
CCCGAGUUGGUGCAGUGGUUAGCAUGUCCAGUGGCAGCGGAAGACUCAGGUUCGACUCCUGAACUUGGGA